CAGUUAUCGUUUAUUUGAUAGUACCUUACUACAUGGAUAACCGUGGUAAUUCUAGAGCUAAUACAUGCUACAAACCUCGACUUCGGAAGAGGUGUAUUUAUUAGAUAAAAAACCAAUGCCCUUCGGGGCUCCUUGGUGAUUCAUAAUAACUAAACGAAUCGCAUGGCCUUGCGCCGGCGAUGGUUCAUUCAAAUUUCUGCCCUAUCAACUUUCGAUGGUAGGAUAGAGGCCUACCAUGGUUUUUACGGGUAACGGGGAAUUAGGGUUCUAUUCCGGAGAGGGAGCCUGAGAAACGGCUACCACAUCCAAGGAAGGCAGCAGGCGCGCAAAUUACCCAAUCCAGACACUGGGAGGUAGUGACAAUACAUACAAAUUUGGGACUCUUUUGGGUCCCAAAAUUUGAAUGAGAACAAUCUAAACUUCUUAUCGAGGAACAAUUGGAGGGCAAGUCUGGUGCCAGCAGCCGCGGUAAUUCCAGCUCCAAUAGCGUAUAUUAAAGUUGUUGCAGUUAAAAAGCUCGUAGUUGAAACUUGGGCCUGGCCGGCCGGUCCGCCUCACCGCGUGCACUGGUUCGGCCGGGCCUUUCCUUCUGGGGAACCGCAUGCCCUUCAUUGGGUGUGCCGGGGAACCAGGACUUUUACUUUGAAAAAAUUAGAGUGUUCAAAGCAGGCCUAUGCUCGGAUACAUUAGCAUGGAAUAAUAGAAUAGGACGCGCGGUUCUAUUUUGUUGGUUUCUAGGACCGCCGUAAUGAUUAAUAGGGAUAGCCGGGGGCGUCAGUACUCAGUUGUCAGAGGUGAAAUUCUUGGAUUUACUGAAGACUAACUACUGCGAAAGCAUUCGCCAAGAAUGUUUUCAUUAAUCAGUGAACGAAAGUUAGGGGAUCGAAGACGAUCAGAUACCGUCGUAGUCUUAACCAUAAACGAUGCCGGCUAGGGAUCGGACGGUGUUAUCAUUUUGACCCGUUCGGCACCUUACGAGAAAUCAAAGCUUUUGGGUUCUGGGGGGAGUAUGGUCGCAAGGCUGAAACUUAAAGACAUUGACGGAAGGGCACCACCAGGCGUUAAAAAUGGUUCUGCGCCUGUCCCGGAUGGAUGCUUGCCUUUCAAGGUAGCUUCUAGUGCCCGCCCCUUGCGACCAGCGAGGGUGUCCGGUUAGCCCGGUUUAUCUGGACAACAUGCUCAAAUUGCUGGAACAUCUCGAGGUAUAGCGGUACUCCCCCGGGGCCUAAAGGCCCGGGUAUAGUGACAAUCCGCCAUACCGCUUGAGGGACUACCCGCAACUGCCCACCUAAGGGACCGCUAAGGUGAGUAGCUCAGAGAUCAGACAAGCAUGGACACGUGGAUUGGAGAGAGAGUCGGUGUUGCAUGAAAGCUUAUUGUACGUACAUUGCUCCACGAAGUAGAAGUUCAGUUUUUUUUGCAAAGGGUUUCGCGAGGGAGAAACGUGAGAUGAAGCACUGGCCUGCAGUGUAGAAUCGCGAGAACUGAAAAAGACUACUGCGCAGCAGUGGUAAGGUGAGAGCACGAGAGAUGCAAAGUAAGCAGCAACACUGACCAGCAGUGGGAUAAGUAAGCGAGCAUGUGUAAAAAGAAAGAGUGCGUUGGCGAGCGAGGUUGGUAGAGGUAGGUAGAAGAGAAGGCUUCUGGAGGCUCGGGCUUCCCCUUGCGCAAUUCUUCGAGAGACGGUUCAUCUUUGCCUGCGGUGUCCACUAGACCUCAGCACUUCCUGCCCCCAUGGGUUCUUGUCUGGGCCGCUCUAAUCUACCACUUCGACGCACACUUGCACCCAGCGCAUGCCUCCGAAAUGGGAGGACACACUCGCCAUCUCCUGCGUCUCCACAUACGUAUCUAAACUGUGAUCCGUCCUACCUGCCAGACAGGUGGUGCGUGCGGGAACCUGCGGCUUAAUUUGACUCAACACGGGGAAACUCACCAGGUCCAGACAUCGUGAGGAUUGACAGAUUGAGAGCUCUUUCUUGAUUCGAUGGGUGGUGGUGCAUGGCCGUUCUUAGUUGGUGGAGUGAUUUGUCUGCUUAAUUGCGAUAACGAACGAGACCUUAACCUGCUAAAUAGCCCGGUCGGCUUUGGCCGGCCGCCGGCUUCUUAGAGGGACUAUCGGCUCAAGCCGAUGGAAGUUUGAGGCAAUAACAGGUCUGUGAUGCCCUUAGAUGUCCUGGGCCGCACGCGCGUUACACUGACAGAGACAACGAGUUCAUCACCUUGGCCGAAAGGUUUGGGUAAUCUUGGUAAACCCUGUCGUGCUGGGGAUAGAGCAUUGCAAUUAUUGCUCUUCAACGAGGAAUGCCUAGUAAGCGCAAGUCAUCAGCUUGCGUUGAUUACGUCCCUGCCCUUUGUACACACCGCCCGUCGCUACUACCGAUUGAAUGGCUCAGUGAGGCCUUCGGACUGGCCCAGGGAGGUCGGCAACGACCACCCCGGGCCGGGAAGUUGGUCAAACUUGGUCAUUUAGAGGAAGUAAAAGUCGUAA
rnacentral:rRNA from 1 species